GUCGACUAACGCGCGCUUUUAAAAGCAAAACGAAAAGUAUUAAUCAGAAAAGAAUUACCGACUACAGUUAAAUUCUAUUAUUGUUAAAUUGUUUUUCCCCUGUAAUUCAUUACGUGUUCAGUAUUUUCGUAAUUUAUAUUUGUAAUAAAAUUUAUAUUUAUAAGUGCAAUAAUUAAAGGCGGUGGAAUGAAAAACGGCUUCAUUUGAGCAGGUACUUUUGAAAAAUCAUUGGUAAUCCGGACGAGGCCCGAUCUGAAUUUGUCCGGAUUAUGUAUUUUUAUUAUUUCGGAGCAAAUCUAUUUUAACGCCCACGCGAAUUUUUUGUUUUUUUUUUUUUUUAUGAUUUAUGCCAAAAUGUGCAAUGUAUACAAAUUACAAAUAUUUCGAUGCGUUCGGUCUCUCUAAACACAGUUAAUCGAAAAUCAAAUAUUGUUUUCGUUGAGAAAAAAAAUGGGUAAUUAAAAAUUAAUGAUUAUUGAAAUAUUAUAUUAUUAAAAUGGAAACAGAUAUCAAAUUAUUUUUAUUAUUUUUUUGCCAGUUCGGCGGACGGAAAUGAACAUAAUGUACCAGCAGUCUAUCAAUAUUGGGCGUUGUUGCACACGGUCGGCAAGACAUCGAUUUUCUACGUCUCCUCGAUUACAGGCGAAACACGAAGUUUCGUACCAGGGACCCAGAAACUGGCGCGACCGUUCGUCAAGGAACUACGGUAAUCAUACACUGCCGUCGGCAAACAUUACACUCUCAUGAACUCCUGGUACAGUUCUCCAAAUUUUCAACGACGUUCCAUUCAUUUUGAAAUAAUUACCUAACCUAAAAUAUUUAUUGAAAAGCGCAAAGAGGUUAGGAAACUCGUGGCGUUUUCGUUUGAACUCGGUGAACCGGGACAAUAUUUUUUGUUUUAUUUGUAGCACUGACUGAUCUCGUGCGCACGCAUAGGCAUUUAUUAUAGAAACGCAAUGCCAAUUUUUACGGUAUGGCAGUUCUGAAUUACGUUUCUCUAUGGCGGGUGUAAUUGUAAUCGAGGUUAGGUUAAUAAUCAUAGACGGAUAAUAUAGAAUAAAUUACUCCAUUGCACCGUAGACGCUUGGAUUAUGCUAGUAUGUGAUCAGAUCUUCUUGGAUUAAUAUUCGAGUACUCUAUGGCGACGCGGAGUCGAUUUUUCCGCCGUUCGUCAGUAAUUCCUCCACGCCCACCGUGACCGCGCGGAAGUGCGUCGCGCGGUGGCGAAUGUCCAUCGCGGUUUUCUGCGACACUUCAUUCGCAUUAAACGCGAUCGUGUCUCCGACGCACGUUCAACAGUGCGGGCACUCGAGAAUUGUUCCCGUAACGGCGCUGAAAUGCCGCCGUGUCGGGUAUUCUUCAUGUGCGCGACGCGGC